UUCACAGUGGCUAAGUUAUGC
rnacentral:miRNA from 12 species